CUAUGGAUUUAUACACUUGGGU
rnacentral:siRNA from 1 species